UUGUCCGGAUUUACUGGGCGUAAAGAGCGUGUAGGCGGCCACGCAGGUCCGUUGUGAAAACUGGAGGCUCAACUUCCAGCCGUCGACGGAAACCGUGUGGCUAGAGUCCGGAAGAGGAGAGUGGAAUUCCUGGUGUAGCGGUGAAAUGCGCAGAUAUCAGGAAGAACACCAAUGGCGAAGGCAGCUCUCUGGGACGGUACUGACGCUGAGGAGCGAAAGUGUGGGGAGCGAACAGG
rnacentral:rRNA from 1 species